UACGUAGGGUGCGAGCGUUGUCCGGAAUUAUUGGGCGUAAAGAGCUCGUAGGCGGUUUGUCGCGUCGGCCGUGAAAACUUGGGGCUUAACUCCAAGCUUGCGGUCGAUACGGGCAGACUUGAGUUCGGCAGGGGAGACUGGAAUUCCUGGUGUAGCGGUGAAAUGCGCAGAUAUCAGGAGGAACACCGAUGGCGAAGGCAGGUCUCUGGGCAUUAACUGACGCUGAGGAGCGAAAGCAUGGGGAGCGAACAGG
rnacentral:rRNA from 1 species